AAUAGAUACCCCCGGUAGUCUUGGCCCUAAACUAUGAUCACUAGGUGUCGGGGGGGUAACCUUCGGUGCCGCAGCUAACGCAUUAAGUGAUCCGCCUGGGGACUACGGCCGCAAGGUUGAAACUCAAAGGAAUUGGCGGGGGCCCGCACAAGCGGUGGAGCAUAUGGCUUAAUUCGAUGCAACGCGAAGAACCUUACCAGGGCUUGACAUGUACCUGCAAUCUCCCGAAACGGAGCCGCUUUCGAAGGUGGUACACAGGUGGUGCAUGGCUGUCGUCAGCUCGUGUUGUGAAAUGUUGGGUUAAGUCCCGCAACGAGCGCAACCCUCACGUUUUGUUACCAGCGAGUAAAGUCGGGGACUCAAAAUGAACUGCCUCUGUAAAGAGGAGGAAGGUGGGGAUGACGUCAAGUCAUCAUGCCCCUUACGCCCUGGGCUGCACAUAUGCUACAAUGGCUGCUACAAAGGGGUUGCCAACUCGCGAGAGUGAGCUAAAUCCCAAAAAAGGCAGUCUCAGUUCGGAUUGGAGUCUGCAACUCGACUCC
rnacentral:rRNA from 1 species